rnacentral:rRNA from 1 species
AUUGAACGCUGGCGGCAGGCCUAACACAUGCAAGUCGAGCGAAGCCUUCGGGCUUAGCGGCGGACGGGUGAGUAACGCGUGGGAACGUGCCCUUUGGUACGGAAUAGCCCCGGGAAACUGGGAGUAAUACCGUAUGUGCCCUUCGGGGGAAAGAUUUAUCGCCAAAGGAUCGGCCCGCGUUGGAUUAGGUAGUUGGUGGGGUAAUGGCCUACCAAGCCGACGAUCCAUAGCUGGUUUGAGAGGAUGAUCAGCCACACUGGGACUGAGACACGGCCCAGACUCCUACGGGAGGCAGCAGUGGGGAAUCUUAGACAAUGGGGGAAACCCUGAUCUAGCCAUGCCGCGUGAUCGAUGAAGGCCUUAGGGUUGUAAAGAUCUUUCAGUGGGGAAGAUAAUGACUGUACCCACAGAAGAAGCCCCGGCUAACUCCGUGCCAGCCGCCGCCGUAAUAC